AUGGACACUAAAGCAGUUGCCAAGGGGGACUUUGAGGAAAUCAAUAUGCAGUUGCAAAAUUUUUUGAUUCAACAGAAUUUUUCAUGGCUCGAUAGUUUGAGGGAGAUCAGAGCUAAUUUCAAGGAAUUAGAUCUGUUGAUGGAAGUUGGAGAAACUGCGACAGAACCAACAGUGGCUGAAUCGGCUACCUCAUUCAAACUAGCAAAUUCUUAA